rnacentral:rRNA from 1 species
UACGUAGGGGGCAAGCGUUGUCCGGAAUCAUUGGGCGUAAAGAGCGUGUAGGCGGCCCGAUAAGUCCGCCGUGAAAGUCCAGGGCUCAACCCUGGAAUGCCGGUGGAAACUGUCGGGCUGGAGUCCGGAAGAGGCGAGUGGAAUUCCUGGUGUAGCGGUGAAAUGCGCAGAUAUCAGGAGGAACACCAAUGGCGUAAGCGUCUUGCUGGGCUGUAACUGACGCUGAGGAACGAAAGCCAGGGUAGCGAAUGGG